CCAGGAGCAGAUGCCAACAGGGACUCUGUCUCUCCCACCGUGAAAAGGCAGCCUGACUUUAAAUGUCCCUGCUGCCAGCAUCCCAGAAGACAGGAGGUGGGGUAACACACCACCACGGACUCCACUGACCGAGUGUCUGAGUCCAGCGCGCUCGGGAGGCAAGAAGCUCCCUCGCCUCCAACACGCAGCCCAUGACGAAGACGACGUGGCUCCUUGUCACUUCUAUGUCUGCACCACCUGACCGAAGGGACUCGUUACCAAUCUCUGCCUUACAGUGGAGCCACUGAAUUGCUGAGCCAGCAGGAGUCCUGGGAAUCGCCGUCUGAUGCCUUCGGUUGCAGGUAGAGAAGGACACCUGAGUGCCUGAGACACAAAGUGACCAGUCAAGGCCACACGGCUGGUUAAUGUCAGGAAGCGUCAGUGACAAAACGUCCCCAUCCCCGUGCUUCUCAAAUGCUUGCUCUCUGGGAUUGUUUCCAGAGAUGCUCGAAUGUUCUACUGACUCCUAAGAAAUCCACGUAUAUUUGGAGUGUACAUCUCAAAGAAAUGGGGGUAUUUGAGGUAACGUUCAUAGUGCGCUAAACCCCAGAAAGUUUCCCAGAAACAAGCGUUUCCUGCAGAAAAGCAGUUCCUCUGCCUGAAGAAGGCUAGGGCGCCUAACGUGACACCAGGCAAGAAGCCACCCAACACCGGGGCCGUGCCGGAGAGCCGGCUGUGCAUGAGCCAUUGGCUGCUUCAGAGACCAGAGACCACAGCUCGCUUCUUUAGGUCGGCCACAUAGACCCUCUGCCUCCGUAUUCUCUUUCCUCGGUUUUCCAUUCAAUAAAUACAGCCUGGAGGGAGACGGUGUCAUGGCAGGGCAGGGGAACCAAGGUUUCUGCUCCUUUAGAUGGGGUCCCAAUAUCUUAGACUCCCACUCUCCUGCCGAUGGUGUUUCGGCACAUGACACUGCCACUCGGGUCCCCUUCCCGAGGCGUGGCGCUGGGCUGUGCAGACUCCUUCCUGGCGCCCGCGGGGAACGUAACCCCAGGUACUCAAUCCUGGGCAGCAGCACCGGGGUGGACGUGUCCGCGGUGGACUCUUGACUGGCUCUGGAUCGCUCCCCUUUGCUGCCCACGCUCCGGAGACCUGCCUGACGACCUGGCUUAAGUGGGGGACUUGUGUCGUGGGAUUCCCAAGUACUGUGUGUGCCUUCCACUAAUAAAAUAGGUUUCGUGCUAACAGGAGAUGGUGCAGUUCACCGACCUGUCAUUUUGCUUGUGUCCUCGAGGCCCUUACAUUUCACUUGAGGUGCAAAACUGUCCGUUAGAAGGAAAAUUUCUUUUUCGUUCGUAAGGCUGAUCAUGAACAGGUUCUAAGUAUGUGCAAAAACCGCAUUAAAGCAAAGAGGUGACUAUGAAAAGAAUGUCUGUACACAGGGGGAAGAGAAGCCACGAUCACUAGUUUUGUCUUUGGCUGUUUCAGACUGGCUCGUUUCUGAUGGCUGCUGGGACGUCUUCAUGUUUGGUAGAAUUUCUCGCCUCUGGGCAAAUCCAGGAGUGCGACGGCUGGAUGUUCUGGUAAGAGGAUGUCCCACUCUGUGAGCACUGUCUUCCCAAGCAUCUGUGUCGGUCUGUGCUCCUGCCAGCCGUGACGGGGGCUCCGCCCACUCCUGUCUUCGCCAGCAUUUGGUGCUAUGCUCUCUCCUGUCCAUGCUUCCGUCUCCCCAUCAGUGACCUGAGCAUCUCUGAGGCCCCCAGGGCCGCAUCCGUGAGCCUGUGUUGUGUUCGUCACCUCAGACUGUUUCGUGGCGCCCCCACGGGGCACGUUUGCUGCCUGUUAGCAAUGGUGAGGGUGGUCUGGGGACCACUGUGGGACGAACUGUGUCCCCCCGCCCCGGCACAUCGGACGGUGGCUGCCCUCAGAGGUAGGGCCUUCAAAGAGGUAAUUAGGGUAAACUGAGUUCACCUGGGCUGGACUUAAUCCAGUAUGACUGGUAUCCUCAAGAAGGGCAGCUGAGGACACAGGACAGGGGGAUGGCCACACGAGGACACAGGAAGAAGGCAGCUGUCUGCAAACCAUGGAGGGAAGCCUCAGAAUGAAGCAGGCCUGCCGGCACCUGGACCUGGGGGCUCCCGCCCAAGGGUCGCUGUGUGGUCAAAGGCUGCAAGUUGCUGACGUCUGGCCCCUAGGCAGCCAGUCCUGUCUCUGCAUGACAGUGACCCCAACCUCCAUGGUGCCGGGCACGUUGCACAGUGCUUUGUCUGCUGAGCCCUCACAAGGUCAGCCAGGCCUGUUUGAAACAGCAAACGUAACAGUGACAGUUACCUCCCUUGUACUCUUUGCCAGAACCUUCCAGGGCACUGAGGACUUAGGGCUCUCCGAAGCUCCCGGGCCUGAAGCUCCGAGAAACAGGCCACGGUUGUGCUGGACGCGGACCAAAGCUCCCGCCUGUCUGCCCGGCAGUCAGUCACCUCCUGCGGCAUCUCGGCUGGGCCCGGUCACCCUCCUUUCUGCUCUGGCCUGGGGCCCGGGGACAGGGGCCGUGCUCACAGCUGGGCACCCUCAGGCCGAUCGCCACCAGGAACGGGGGACGGUCUCAGAACUGAUGUCUGCAGUCUGGCUGGGUCCUCGUCGUGCUCGAGGAGACAGAGAGGACACAGUCCUGCACACAGGACGGGGACACUUUCCUGGACUUGUCUGCUAGAAUGCCUCCUUUUUGCAGCCGCAGCGUUUGAGAAAUGACAGCUCAGAAGCUCCAGUGCCUUCCAGAAACACCAGCCUCAGAACAGGAGGGGCCGGACCAGCCUCAGAGAGGGGUGCCCAGGGCCAGGAGCCGAGGUGGCGCUCUAUCCCCCUGCUUUGUGAGGCACAUCUUGUCCCCCUCCACCUGCCUCCCCCCACCCCCCCCCCCCACACACAGUCACUGUAGACACUACUCAUUUCCACACACCUUAUCAUGAACGUCGUCAGACCCCGGAAACAUGGAAGGCAUUACACGGUGCAUUACGCCUGUGCUCACCGCCCGGAGUCCGCAAGUCCUAAUUUCUCACACUGUGAUCCAUCCACCCUCUCUAGCCCUGCGUCCACUCUCCUGUUUGUUACGUAUUUCAAAGCAGGUUUCGGACGUGAGCGCACCUGCUCCUGGACGCUCGUACUUGUGCAUCCUUCGCCAGAGUUCGGUGUCCGUUUACGGCUCUGCUUCAAACCCCACCUUUUGAACAUAAUGAUGUAGGGGGUGAUUUUUUCCUUUCAAAUCUCACAACGCUGCUGAGGACGAUGGGAAGUGCUCCCGAGAGGAGGAAAAUUGGGGCUGGGGCUCCUGUCUGUGGCAGGAACGCUUCCUGUUCGGCGUUCACACAAGCAGGCUGGGAACUGAAUCAGAUGCAGGGGAUGCGAUCCUCCUUAGUAUACCUGAGGGGAAGAGGUCAGAGUCCAGGAGGCCCCGGGGACCGGUCCAGGGCAAGAAGUUCUGUGCAGCUGGGGCCCCAGCCCUGUGUGUCUGCCCCCAGCUCCUUCCUGAAGCUUUCUUCCCUCUGAUGCUUCCCUCUGCUCCCCAUCACCCCCCACCCUCAUCCAUCUCUCUCUGUAUCUCUCUCUUUUUCCAUCUGUCUCUCUCUAUCUUUGUCUCUUUCUUCUUCUCUCCCUCCUUCUGUCUCACUCCAUGUCUCUGUCUCUCUGUGUCUCUUCUCUCUGUCUUUCUCUGUCUCUCUGUUCCUCACUCCCCUGCCCCUGUCUCUCUUCCCUCCCCCUGUCUGUCUCUUUCUGUCUCUCCGUGUCUGUGUCUCUGUGUCUCUCCUUCCCUCCCUCUCUUUCUGUCUCUCCGUGUCUGUGUCUCUGUGUCUCUCCUUCCCUCCCUCUGUCUCUCUCUCUCUGUAUCUUUCUGUGGCUCUUUCUGUCUCUCUUCCUCCCCCCUCCCCCGCCUGAGUGUGACUUACUCCCUGCACUGUCCCGGACCCUUGUGCCCCACGAACUGGCAUCUGACACCUCAAUGGUAACACAAAAACGUAAGUCGAACCAAGACAAGAACACAGAGAAUGAAGUAAUUGGGGGGUUUCUGUGCGAAUUUAAGAGUUGGCACCAGAAACAAUGAAAUCUGAGAAAGUGACUUCACUAGAUAGUAAUUUUGCUUUAGGGAAACCACAAUAGCAACAGGGCUUGUGAAAUCCUCUGUGGGCUCUUACCGGUGUCAUGACACGAGCCGUGUGGCAAGGACCCCGGUCGAGGUGCCCAUGAGCCUGCAAACAGAGGGGCAGUGGGACCCUACGGCCCCUUGUUUCUGGGCUCCCUGUGCCUGGGGAAGAAGCCCACCACCCACAGAUGACUAUUCUUGGAAGAACCUCCCGUGGAGCCACAGGGAGCUGGAGUCACUGUCCCCUCUCUCCCGUCCUCCUGGAGGGCCCUCUGGGACUAACGUCGUGAUGCCCGGCUCUAUGGGGUCUUCUGGCACCUUCCAGGAGGCAGAGCUGCUCCUGUGACCAUGCCCCCCCCCCCGCGUGCUCACCUGUCCCCGCUGGCUCCUGGGGCCCCGUGGGGUACACCCCCCCCACCAGACACCGUGGGGCCCUGGCGGCCUAAGCCUCAGCCCCUGGAGACGUGCCUUGGGCCGCUCACUCACUUGAGGCCUCUCCCCUAAUCACCCCACAUCCCCCCCUACACCCCCAACCCCACGGCCAUGCUUGAGGCCCCGCCAGGGCUGGGGACACUGCACCAGAGACAGCGGGAAUUAUUCUGGUUCUCCAGAGCCCUGGGAGUGUCUUAUCACCCAGCCGCCUCUUUCCUGCCAGGGAGUCCCUCAGGCAAGGCUGUCUCUGGGGGCCAUGACCAGGUCAUCCCCUACCGCCAGGCAGCCCCUCAACGCCCUGUCCCCAGUGGUCCCAGCUGCCCCACAGAGCCCCAGCAGGCCUGUGUGUGUGUGUGUGUGUGUGUGUGUGUGCUCUGCCAUACGCCGAAGCAAGCAUGGCCACCAGAAAUUCAAGGCCAUCAGCGUCGGCCGGAACCCCCUGUGAGGAGCAGGUCCGAGAACCUCCACUCGGGCACUGACUUAGGAACUUGAGCGGCUUGGGGACCGGGGCAGAGGUCACAUGGCAGUGAGCCGAUCUCACGAGCCGGGCGCUACACUGCCCGUUACUAAGUGCCCUCUGGCACGGCCCCUGGGUCCGGCUGCCCGUCCCUGCUCACAUGUUAGAGCCCCCAGCCCCCUCCGCGGUGCUCUUCCUGGACGGCCUGCUCUUGCAUUCCCGCUGAGAGGGACUUUCCACUUAGCUCCCACGUCAGAGAAAGAGCCCGCCGUCACCACCCUUGUCAGACACCAUCCUGCAGGCAUUAAAAUACCACAUUUACAUUCGACUUCCCUUGCUUCUAUCUGUCUGACUUCCAGACAUAGGCCUCGGGGCGGAGGGGAGGCACGCCGGCCAUGUGUGCCUCACCUGUACUCGCCCAGCACCUGGCCUAGCGCCCGUCCCUGGCAGACACUUGUGAAACACGUGUUGGAAAGGGGCCCCGGGGUGGCUCCUUCAGUUGAGUGUCCAGCUCUUGAUUUUGGCUCAGAUCAUGAUCUCCAAGUCGUGGGAUCAAGCCCCGUGUGGGGCUCAGUGCAGAGUGGGGAGUCUGCUUGGGAUUCUCUCUCCCUCUCUCUCUCUGCUCCCCGCCUACUUCCUUGCUCUCUCUCUCUCUCAAAAUAAUAAUAAAUAAACUUUAAACAACAUUAAAAAAAAAAAAAGAAUGGUAAAAAAGAAAAAGCAACAGUACCGAUCACUGACAGACCACGGGUAUGGCUACACCCUCCACCCGUCUCCUCCUGUCACCCCAGCACAGCACACAGGUGAGCCUGCCCCAUGGCCCGCCAUCUCCAGCUGGAGCAGAGGAGCCAUCGCGUUGUGGCGUCCAGAAUCCUGCCCCCACGCUCCCUCCUCUGGGUUUUCUGGCAGGACCCCGAAACUGGGGAAUCACAGCUCCUCGGUGCAGGCAGCCGUCGCUGUGGGUGCUUUGUGGUCCCAGCAACCAGAAAUCAACAGAAAGCAUGGCCAGGCUAUGUCGGGCACAGAUUCCAGCACGUUUCAGGGCCAAGGGCUGAUGGUGGAAAUCCGUGCCUUCACCUCCCUCUGUCUGUCUGUGUCCCUGUCUGUCUGUCUUAAUCUCUCACAUCCCGUCAUGCUCGCCCCAUUUUUAAAUCUACUUAUUUUUUACCUAUCAACUGAAUACCACCCUCUGCCAGCGAUUACCAAGAUUGUAAUCGUGAUGAACCACUGAUUCACAGCCACCUUAGUGAAAUUAACCCAGCUGGGGAAAUUAAUGAUGCAUCGGGCUGACAUCUCCAAAUCAGCCCCACCAAACACAGUUCUGCAGAACCUCAGACGAGCUCAGGUUUUCUGAGGAGAAAUCAGAGAGCAAGAUUAGACUAUUUAGUCUGAAAAUAAAUGCUGUGAAGUUGUUCAAUAGCUUCAAGCACCAUGAAGCCUUCCGACUCGGUUCCCACGGAAGAGGGACCCGAGGAAAUAAACUUCUGUGUCCGAGUGAUGCGGAGAGCAGGCUGUGCCCGGGAUGGGGAGGGAGGCCCCCGCGCCCGGCCGAAUGUCGUGGGUUCGCAUGCCCUCUCUCUGCCUAACCUUUUGGUUUUGUUUCUGUUCCCUGGGUAGUUUUAAAAUUACUAAAUACAUACGCCUGUUGUGCACUUUCCAGACACAAACUGAUUAGCGUGUUUGGGAAAGUAUACAUGUUCCCUCCUCUACAAGCACACGGGAGGGCGUCCUGUACUCUUGUGCAACCUGCUGUUUCCUUUAACCACAUACGUGAGGCACCUGUACAGACCGCUGCGCAUGGUGUUACCUCAUCGUUGGAUGGCGCAGACCCUCACGCCCAGGUAUGCGCCUCUCCCCUCACCAUGGCUCUGUCGGACACAGCUUUGCGAUCUUUCCAUUGUUUACAGAACUCAUGCCCUAUCUGCACACUUACGUGAGUGUGUCCAUAGAAUAAGUUCCUAGGAAUGAAAAUAAAUUCCUAGAGAGGGAAUAACCGGAUGAAAAGCAAGUCUAUUUUUAACCCCCGUGGUUUUUUUUUUUUUUUAAGUUUUAGUUAUUUAUUUUAAGAGAGGGAGCGAGAGAGAGCAUGAACAGGGGAGGGGCAGAGAGACAGAGAGGGAGAGAGAGAAUCCCAAGCAGGCUCCACGCUGUCAGCACAGAGCCCAACAUGGGGCUCGAACUCACGAACUGAGAUCGUGACCUGAGAUGAAAUCAAGAGUCGGCCGCUUAACCACCUGAGCCGCCCAGACACUCCACCCCUGGGGUUUUGAGUAAACCUUUGUGUCUUCAGAUGACACUUACAUGAAGCAGGGGUUCUCACAGGUAGCCACCGAGAAGGCCGCUAAACAGGUGGCUGGGUCUCUGCUCCUCGGAGCUGCUCAUCUGGAAGGCCCGGGCUGUGACCCUGGAACCCACCUUGGGGAGGAGCUCCCAGCUGAUGCCGAUGCUGGUCCGGGGACCACACGUGGGGAGCCGGUGAGUGAAACCAUCUGCUUGCUUUCGAGAAGAAGGAAGAAAUGAACUCUGGGGGCCAGAGGUGGUGUCCUCUCUUUUCUGAAUGCCCUGCCCUUGCCCACCGGGGUGAGAGGGAAGGCGAGUCACCGGGGAGAAGCCCACCGUCACCCUGCACUCCAGAACCUGUGCAUUUCAAGCCCUCCCUCCAUGCUCCCAACACACCUACUCCUUCUCAGGAGCCGUCCAGUGCCUUGUGGCUUCCGGUGAUAUUUGUUUAGCAAGCCCUCUGUGGAUUUGUCUUCACGCCUUUUUAAUGACGCUUGAGAUGGGUAACUGCCACCACCAGCACCACGAAGAGCCUUGUGUGCCUGGCACACAGUUCCCAUGAUAUCUUAGAAAAGUGUCUUCCCCACCCCCCCCCCAACUAUGGCACGAAUACUCACACACAGAGCACCCUCUUGCACUUUCUAUGAAAAGCUGUCACAGCCUGCCAAGGUCACAGCCACGGUGAGAUUAGCCCACAGUGUACUAGCCUGUUUGCAUUU